UUAAGACCUGCUGCAGCCUCCCCCCGCCCCCCGCCCCCCAUGCACUUGGCGCUGGCUCCGCCCGUUGACGCAAUCCGUCGGCAGGCUGUGCCAAAAGUCACGUACAACAGCGACGGCAACAGCAACAGAAGCGUUUUCAUUAAAAAUGCAGGAAGAAGGCCGCACUGGAUCACUCAACAAAUUGGGGACAGACACCCAUAAUUGCCCGACAAAACAAAGGCGAAAACCAAAACCACAACAUAAAGAGCAAAGAGCAAAGAAAGAGAGCUUUAUGACUGCGCUGCUGUUGCGCCAUUAACUUUGCUCUCCCCCAAUGAACCGCAAUUAAAUGUCAACUGCACACGAAACGGCGGCGAAUAAAAGACAGCUUUCUCUUUAGUAGAGGCGCAGUGGUGGAGUGGGGGGAGAGGAGGAGAUCACUGCUAUAGAAACAGAAAGAGAGCCGCACAAGGAUGUUGCUUUAAUUAAGAGCAUCGGCUUUCUCUCUCUUGAAUUGGGUAAAAGAAAGACGGUUAAAGAGACAGUGCGGAAGCACAAGAGUAGGAUCAGUGGCAGGUCAAGCAUUAUGCGACUAAAUUGUUAUUAACUUUAUUAUCGCACCCCAAAGCUAUUGCUCAAGCUAUUAUUGCAUAUUUAGCGUGCACUUUGAAUGCAUUUGUGUUCGUAUUCUUGUUGUUUGUUUUUAGCUUUUAGGUUGUUUCGUUUCUGCUGUACGAUUUAUGGCCAACGAUCAAAGUCCAAUGUGCAGUCGGUCGCUGCCGCUGCUGGCGUUGCUGCUGCCGUUGCCUAGGCCUGCUGCAGAAAUUAAAUGCACAGAGAGAGAGAGAGAGAGAGGGUACGAAACACACGUGCUCCCAUUCGAAAUAAAGAAGAGUACACGCAAAAACUGAAACUGCAGCUAUUUUCACAUAGUACCCUGGGAGAGGGUAUUGCGGCUUUGACCAGCUGUUUGCCACGAACCGAAGCUCAGCCGAAGAACUGCCGAAUCAAUGCGCAAGGGUAUCCACAACUUCGGCACAAAUGCUGGCCUUUUCUUUCCAAUUCGCCCUUCAAUCACAUUAAAUUGUAAAUGUGAGAUUAUUGGGAUUAGAAAAUUGAUUAGUAACUUUAUAUGUAGCAACUAUUUAGUUUGGCCUGUCAUUUUCAAUUGAAAGCGAAAUUGGAUUUUGUGUAGCUCAACAUUGUGUCGGGUGCUGAAGGUCGAGGCGCUUCCAGCUGAAGGUCACGGGGGGUGCACAUAGUACAUACAUAUGUGUGUACGCAUGUAGGCUGGCGAAUGCAACGAACGACGACUCGACUGAUAAGGGCAUUGCACAUUGGCACUGCAUUUAUUUACUGACAGUUUCACCUUCCUUUCGAAAACAUUCUCUCGAUUCUAAAUGUGUAAUAUUUUUAUGCUGAACCAAGGGGAAGAGGUUUCGCUUAGCUAUUCGAAAGCCAUGAAAAGUUGUUCUAAGCAAUAUUUCGAGGAAUUUUCAGUAAAUUGAUUUACAUAUAAAUGUACUGCAAAGGUGCACCUGGAAUCAUUUGUUGGUAUCCCCCAGUAUCCACAGCGCAAUUGUUCACGCCUUCAUCAGUUGAAAAGUUCUCAUCGCUGCACCUUUUCACAUUGAUCUACGGUCUGUGUUAUUUCAUGAUUAUAUAAGCAGAUGGCUUCUCAGAGUCUGCUUUAAUGAAAUUGCACUUGCAGUCGCUUUUCGCUUUCAAUAUUUAAAAUACAUUUUCUUUUCCACAAUAUGUUAAGAGACUGUGCACAGCAUCUCCUCCUCCACCUCCUCCACCUCUUUCGCUUUUGCUUCGUAUUCGCAAUGAUUGGCCAUUCGCACGUCAGCAAUUAACAGUUAUAGCAACUAUUGAGCGCGAGUGGAGGAGAGUGGUCUGCAGGGGGAGGGGGCUUGACAGGUUGAUAAAGAUGGGGUUGACUUAAAAGUUUCCGUUGCACAGGAGAAGUGGCGCACAUGGCCAACACGUGCUCUCGGUCUCCGCGCAUAAGUAAUUAAGUGCAAUUUAUGGCCAGAGCCCGUGAGCGCGUGCCGUCAUUAAUUUCAAUGCAUUGAACCUGUUUCAGCACAGCAGCAGUAGCAGCAGAAGCCGCAGCAGCAGAGCCCGGCCAAUCCCAUUCUCCUACACACAAGUGCAUUUUCAUUGCCAACAAUUUGUGUUCGUUCUGCAGGCAAUGGGAGAGGGGGAAUCUCUCCAUCUCUCUCUGCCACGCCACCCCCUCACUCUUGCUCUCUCUCUCUCUCUCUCUCUCUCUUGGUGUCUUGGACUCCACCUAGUUCCCAGCCUCAGGGCAUGUUGGAGAGAGGUGAUCACUCGACUGGCGCAUGGUCUGCCGCCAGCAACAACAACUUUAACAUGUUCUAACCAUUUAUGGUUGCGAGAGAGAGCGAGAGAGAGAAAAGGCGAAUGGGAAUGGGAACGAGGAAGAAGCUGUUAUGCACGGAUAUGUCAUUCUUCCCGCCUGUCUAUUCAUUUCGUUUACAUUGUAGAUCGCGUCGCAGGCAGAAAGAUUAGUAGGAAGGAAUUCAUUCCGCUCUCUACGCACGUGUGACCCCAUUAAUCAUAUAAUAAGCAUAAUUAACUUUUCAAUUUGAUAAGCGAAACGUUUACGGCACAUGCAAAUUGCAAGAGCGACUUUGUUCAGCCUCUCUCUGUCGCACUGGCUGUCGGUCAACAAAAGCACAACAAGAGUUCAAAAGUACAAAGUCCAAAGCGACGGCUUGUCGCCUAACUGACGUCACAAGCCGCCGAGGAGUUUUUUCAUUACAGUUUCGGCUGGCAGCAACAAACACUGCUGCGAUCAAACAGCAAAGAGCAAUGACAAUUAUACAUAUGUAUGUAGCAAGACCAACAAACAAGUAUGCGAGAGCAACAUCACAACAAAACCACUCACGAGGCGAGUGCCAGUCCAAAGUCCAAACGGCAUUUUGAAGACUGGGGUCCAAAGUCCAUUGCAAGCGACACUGGUCGGGUUUUCUGCUGCCAGCCGCCGCCACCGAAGCAGCCAGCCAGCAUGCUAGUCAUACCCAGAUCCCCCUUGCCUGUCCCCUCUCACGACAUCAACAUGUGGACCACCAUCUCCCCCUUUCCCGCUGCCAUGACUUGUCUUUCGUUUACAACAACAAAAAUUGUUUGUAAAAGAGCGAAAAGCAAUACGAUGCGAAGCUCUUUUGUUUUUCUGUCUCGCACUCUUUCUUGGCACUGCUGUUUACAUCGGUCAGAGCUCUCUCUUAAUCUAUGUACCUGUUUCUCUUAAGAAGCUCGACCUCAAGUGAAGUAACAGAUGUUACAUUCUGUUUGUGUUAUUUUACACGGUUCUACCUGAUUUUACUACCUACCCAAAUGAUAGGCCAUAACAGCAAAUAAUCCGCUGCAGGGUAUUACGAGAGACGUUAAGUCGUAUAAUCAGUGGAGGGGCGGGCGGUACUAAACUCUUGCCAUCUGCCUAUUUGCCUGGUGGGGCGCGCGCGCCCGGUCCGCAGAUUUGUUUGUGUCUCGCCUUAGUGAGAAUUACGAAAGUUUCGGUUAUGUCAGGCUUCGCUGCCCAGCCUAAUUCGCUAUUGUUGUUAUUUGCCGGUGGCUGGCUUCAGAAAAUAAAUAAAUUUGUUCACGAUUCGUGCUCGAAUUCGAGUUGGUUUUGCAUUUGUGUUUCAUUUAAUUUUAGCGAAAUAAUCCACAAAAGUGGACUUUGCACUUGGCAGCAGGCAGAGAGCAGAGACAGCGAGGCUCUUUUGUAUUUUUGCGGUGAAUGAAUGUACACGAAAAUACACAUGGUAUAUUUCUGCAAGGUGAACCAUGCCCAGAGAUCUCUCGCACAUCAGCGAUAGCGUGGGGGGGGCAAACAAAAUAGGCAACUCAAGGGGUUCACCCUGCUCAAAUACACCUUGGAAUGUUCGACAUUUUUGGCUGUCGCCGCUCCUCCGCCUGUUGCCACGUUUUGCUCUCAACAAAAUAUAAUUCAAAAUAAAACAAAAAUAUUCCCAUGAGCCAGAACUUGUUUGAAUAUGUUUCCUAAUUGGAAUCAAAUGCUCCAACCAUUUUGCGUGCUAUUUAAGCAUUGGGGUGCUCACUUCAAGUCUCUGUGGAAUGGCAGCAGAAUCGGAGGAAUUGGGGGAAUGGGGAAAUACAAAAAAGCAUUUGAUUAUUUUUAGGAUUUCAUGUUUGCUUCCAAAUAAAUCAAGCAACGCAAUUUAAGGCUUUAAUAAACACCCAGAUGUGGCAAGAACUUUUAUAGUAGAAUGCUGCACCCCCCCGGACUGUCUUCCUAUCUGGAAUACUCAACGAACCCCACAAAUGGAUUCCAUUCCAAGCAAAGCUCAAGUCAUUGUAUUUCUCAUUAGACUGCAAAACCCAAUUUCGCUACGACAUUCUAUUCAAAUGAAUGCACUCAUGAGUAGUUGUAGUGGAGGCAAGCAAAUCCACUCGAAGCCAAGCAAAACCACUCCAAGCAAGAAAAUCCACUCAGGGCAAACGAUUCUGAACUAAUUAAGACGCCGAAAUGUCGUCGACAGCCUGCGGUUUUCCAAACAGGCGGAUGGGAUGGAAUAGUACCUUGUGGUAGGUGGUAGGUGGUAGGCGGUUGGUGGUUGGUGGUUAUAGGCACCGGAUGAGAUUCCAAUCCCAAUCCCAAGCCGAACGCAAUUAAUUAAUCAAGUACAUGGAUCAAUUUACAUGCCACUGCCACCACUAGCACGCUAGUGGGGAAUAGGAGGUGUGGCAACUUGGUAACGGUUGUUAACGGCACUGUGCAGAGCCGACAAGAGACGACUCUCGAGAUGUUCAUCUCCGAGCGAGGCAGCCAGCUGUGCCGGAAGUUGAGCCCCCACCCCCCCAAAGAAUGGUGUGGGGCUUAUACCAUAAAGGAAGAUUGGAUUGGGGAGAGUGUGCUGUAUCUGAGAGCGCAUCGAGUGAAUCCUCUCGAGAGUUUUCGCCACGUAAUAGCUGAAAUUUAAUGACAGGCAGUGCUGCAAAAUGUUGAAUACAGUUUGGGGAAACAUUGCCGCCAGAUAUAAAGCUGUUGAAGCUGCCGAAACUGGAUGGAUUCGUACUAAUAGUCUAUAUUAUAUGUAUAUGGAAUAUUCCAUUAUGCUCAAUCAGAGAAACCGACAACAAAAUUGAAUGAUUAUAUAUACGAAAUUUUUUGCUUCAAUUAAAUUUUUGUGUGGGCAAAGCCACAACGAGAUGGAAUUGUCGGAAAUUCCUUUAUUAAAUACGAUAUUAAAUAGCUAAUAAACCGAAGCAUCCGCCACGGGGUGAAAACAUUCAUUUUCCUGCGGUUUUUCCCUAAUGAAAAUGUAGCAAAGGGCAAGAAAUUGUGCGAACGCGUUGAUGCGUGAGCAACUUGUUGCCUUGACUGCCACAGCUCACAGAUACAGCUCACAGAUACAGAUACAGACACAGGUACACACGUGUAUGUUUCGGGGUCUGUCUUAUUAUGCAAAGUGCUGCUGGAGAGGGGGAAGGGGGGCAUGGCCCCUGUUGAACGGAGUUUCGAAAAACAAACAAAUUCAUCUUUUUCUCGACAUUUCGGAAUUUCAUUUUGGGAAGCAGCAACCAAUGCGAAUGGGGCGGGCCCCGGGGGUGGAGGCGUAUAUCUGGAACAGCAUCAUCAUCAUCAUCGUCACCAUCGUCCUCGCAAACAACAUCCUUAUGGCUGCUGUUCCAAUUCCAAAUGAUGACACGCUCGUUGCAUAAGCAAAUAUUUCUAGAGACCACCCCCAACCAUCGCCCCCCAAUUGGCAAUUCAGCCGCAACAGCACUUCUCCUCCGCUCCUCCACUCCUCCGCUCCGGCACUUGUUGUUGUUGAUGCCAGCAGUGUUCACUGUGGUGCUGCUGUCACGGCAGCCUGACAGGCCGCGCUACUGACAGGACAUGCUUUGCCUGAAGCUGCUGGGAGCCGUAUGUCGCUGACAGAUUCCGCCAACUUGAAUUGAUAAGCCGCUGAUCCAGAAUAGAUUGGAAUGCGUCUGCCCCUGUCUCCUCUUCAGCUAAGCUUUAACUUUAAUUAACACCCAACCAUCCUUGAAAAUAUAUAGAAUAGCUCUCUUGUGUGCGUGGCCCUUAACUAAUCCA
rnacentral:sRNA from 1 species